ACAAGUUCAGCCAUCACUUGGCUGACAUGCAUGUUGGCCAUUUGUCCUCAGUGAACAUGAACAUUUUGGUUGCUGCCCAAAAGGCUCUCAAACACCUGCAAUAACUACUUUCUUUUGUUUACUGUGCUUGAGCCUUCACAGGCAAAUCUUACUCCUUCCCCUGGGCUCCAGCAGGUAUUACACUGCCUUUAUAUAUUCCUGAGGAAAGCUAUAUAGAAGUUUUAAGAGAAUGUUUUCCACUGGAAACUGUGAUUAAAUCAAAAUAUUCAACAAGGAAGUGUUGAUUAGCACAUGCACACCCCUCCAAAGAUGAGAAGCUGAAGUCAUUUUUUCAAACAAGGUAGAUGUGAUCUUCAUUACGUUUAAUGUUAUUUGGCAGGUUUUUGGAGAAGGGAGUCAUUUAAAGUUUGAAUGAAUUCAAUGUGUUCAUAUUUUAUGUAAAUAAUCAAAAUGACACAGAUGAAAUAAGACUUUUAGUGGCUUUAAAAUUAAUGUUCCCUAAAUUCCAUUUCACAGGAAAUUAAAUUUUUGUUCUGAUUCAAGCCAAAAGGAAAAUUUUGAAAUGGCAGGAUUUCCCGUGAGCCAGAGGCUGAGCUUCCCAGCACUGCAGGGCUGCGAGCACCAGCAGGGCGAUGAGCAAUCGGUUGCUUCUUUCAGACUUGUGGGAGGUAGAAAUUAACCAUCCGAAAGCUGUCUGCUCUGCAGUCUAUCAUCUGUCCAGCCCCAGGACCAUCAGGUGUGACAAGCAAGGCAUCAGAUGCGAUAUGGCACAGAUUGGAUGUUCAGGUAGACUAACCUGAUCUCUGACAACUUGAAGCAUGUCUCUGCUGGGAUUCAAGCACGCGGGCAGGUCAAAUGGCAAGACUCUGCAUUGUCUCCAGGUGACAUCAAGAUGCCACA